GUUGGUGGAAACUUUAAGUUUGCGACCAAAGUUGAUGUUUUCGGUCAAAGUUGAUGUUUUUGGUCAAAGUUGGUGGAAACUGGAAGUUUGCAACCAAAGAUGAUGAUUUCGGUCCAAAAUGAUGAUUUCGGUCAAAGUUGAUUUUUUUGGUCAAAGUUGGUGGAAACUGGAAGUUUGCAACCAAAGAUGAUGAUUUCGGUCAAAGUAGAUGUUUUUGGUCAAAGUUGGUGGAAACUCGAGGUUUGCGACCAAAAUUGAUGUUUUCGGUCAAAGUUGAUGUUUUCGGUCAAAGUUGGUGGAAACUGGAAGUUUGCAACCAAAGAUGAUGAUUUCGGUCAAAGUUGAUGUUUUUGGUCAAAGUUGGUGGAAACUCGAGGUUUGCGACCAAAGUUGAUGUUUUCGGUCAAAGUUGAUGUUUUCGGUCAAAGUUGGUGGAAACUUGAAGUUUGCGACCAAAGUUGAUGUUUUCGGUCAAAGUUGAUGUUUUCGGUCAAAGUUGGUGGAAACUGGAAGUUUGCAACCAAAGUUGAUGUUUUCGGUCAAAGUUGAUGUUUUCGGUCAAAGUUGGUGGAAACUGGAAGUUUGCAACCAAAGAUGAUGUUUUCGGUCAAAGUAGAUUUUUUUGGUCAAAGUUGGUGGAAACUCGAGGUUUGCGACCAAAGUUGAUGUUUUCGGUCAAAGUUGAUGUUUUUGGUCAAAGUUGGUGGAAACUGGAAGUUUGCAACCAAAGAUGAUGAUUUCGGUCAAAGUAGAAGUUUUUGGUCAAAGUUGGUGGAAACUGGAAGUUUGCAACCAAAGAUGAUGAUUUCGGUCAAAGUAGAUGUGUUUGGUCAAGGUUGGUGGAAACUGGAAGUUUGCAACCAAAGAUGAUGAUUUCGGUCAAAGUAGAUGUUUUUGGUCAAAGUUGGUGGAAACUGGAAGUUUGCGACCAAAGAUGAUGAUUUCGGUCAAAGUAGAUGUUUUUGGUCAAAGUUGGUGGAAACUGGAAGUUUGCGACCAAAGUUGAUGUUUUCGGUCAAAGUAGAUGUUUAUGGUCAAAGUUGGUGGAAACUGGAAGUUUGCAACCAAAGAUGAUGAUUUCGGUCAAAGUUGAUGUUUUUGGUCAUAGUUGGUGGAAACUGGAAGUUUGUAACCAAAGAUGAUGAUUUCGGUCAAAGUUGAUGUUUUUGGUCAAAGUUGGUGGAAACUGGAAGUUUGCAACCAAAGAUGAUGAUUUCGGUCAAAGUUGAUGUUUUUGGUCAAAGUUGGUGGAAACUGGAAGUUUGCAACCAACGAUGAUGAUUUCGGUCAAAGUUGAUGUUUUUGGUGAAAGUUGGUGGAAACUGGAAGUUUGCGAAAAAAGUUGAUGUUUUUGGUCAAAGUAGAUGUUUUUGGUCAAAGUUGGUGGAAACUGGAAGUUUGCAACCAAAGAUGAUGAUUUCGGUCAAAGUUGAUGUUUUUGGUCAAAGUUGGUGGAAACUGGAAGUUUGCAACCAAAGAUGAUGAUUUCGGUCAAAGUAGCUGUUUUUGGUCAAAGUUGGUGGAAACUUGAAGUUUGCGACCAAAGUUGAUGAUUUCGGUCAAAGUAGCUGUUUUUGGUCAAAGUUGGUGGAAACUGGAAGUUUGCAACCAAAGAUGAUGAUUUCGGUCAAAGUAGAUGUUUUUGGUCAAAGUUGGUGGAAACUGGAAGUUUGCAACCAAAGAUGAUGAUUUCGGUCAAAGUAGAUGUUUUUGGUCAAAGUUGGUGGAAACUGGAAGUUUGCAACCAAAGAUGAUGAUUUCGGUCAAAGUAGAUGUUUUUGGUCAAAGUUGGUGGAAACUUGAAGUUUGCGACCAAAGUUGAUGUUUUCGGUCGAAGUUGAUGUUUUUGGUCAAAGUUGGUGGAAACUGGAAGUUUGCAACCAAAGAUGAUGAUUUCGGUCAAAGUAGAUGUUUUUGGUCAAAGUUGGUGGAAAUUCGAAGUUUGCGACCAAAGUUGAUGAUUUCGGUCAAAGUAGCUGUUUUUGGUCAAAGUUGGUGGAAACUGGAAGUUUGCAACCAAAGAUGAUGAUUUCGGUCAAAGUAGAUGUUUUUGGUCAAAGUUGGUGGAAACUGGAAGUUUGCAACCAAAGAUGAUGAUUUCGGUCAAAGUAGAUGUUUUUGGUCAAAGUUGGUGGAAACUGGAAGUUUGCAACCAAAGAUGAUGAUUUCGGUCAAAGUAGAUGUUUUUGGUCAAAGUUGGUGGAAACUUGAAGUUUGCGACCAAAGUUGAUGAUUUCGGUCAAAGUAGCUGUUUUUGGUCAAAGUUGGUGGAAACUGGAAGUUUGCAACCAAAGAUGAUGAUUUCGGUCAAAGUUGAUGUUUUUGGUCAAAGUUGGUGGAAACUGGAAGUUUGCAACCAAAGAUGAUGAUUUCGGUCAAAGUAGAUGUUUUUGGUCAAAGUUGGUGGAAACUGGAAGUUUGCAACCAAAGAUGAUGAUUUCGGUCAAAGUAGAUGUUUUUGGUCAAAGUUGGUGGAAACUUGAAGUUUGCGACCAAAGUUGAUGUUUUCGGACAAAGUUGAUGUUUUUGGUCAAAGCUGGUGGAAACUGGAAGUUUGCAACCAAAGAUGAUGAUUUCGGUCAAAGUAGAUGUUUUUGGUCAAAGUUGGUGGAAACUUGAAGUUUGCGACCAAAGUUGAUGAUUUCGGUCAAAGUAGCUGUUUUUGGUCAAAGUUGGUGGAAACUGGAAGUUUGCAACCAAAGAUGAUGAUUUCGGUCAAAGUAGAUGUUUUUGGUCAAAGUUGGUGGAAACUGGAAGUUUGCAACCAAAGAUGAUGAUUUCGGUCAAAGUAGAUGUUUUUGGUCAAAGUUGGUGGAAACUGGAAGUUUGCAACCAAAGAUGAUGAUUUCGGUCAAAGUAGAUGUUUUUGGUCAAAGUUGGUGGAAACUGGAAGUUUGCAACCAAAGAUGAUGAUUUCGGUCAAAGUAGAUGUUUUUGGUCAAAGUUGGUGGAAACUGGAAGUUUGCAACCAAAGAUGAUGAUUUCGGUCAAAGUUGAUGUUUUUGGUCAAAGUUGGUGGAAACUGGAAGUUUGCAACCAAAGAUGAUGUUUUCGGUCAAAGUAGAUGUUUUUGGUCAAAGUUGGUGGAAACUCGAGGUUUGCGACUAAAGUUGAUGUUUUCGGUCAAAGUUGAUGUUUUUGGUCAAAGUUGGUGGAAACUGGAGGUUUGCAACCAAAGAUGAUGAUUUCGGUCAAAGUUGAUGUUUUUGGUCAAAGUUGGUGGAAACUCGAGGUUUGCGACUAAAGUUGAUAUUUUCGGUCAAAGUAGAUGUUUUUGGUCAAAGUUGGUGGAAACUGGAAGUUUGCAACCAAAGAUGAUGAUUUCGGUCAAAGUUGAUGUUUUUGGUCAAAGUUGGUGGAAACUCGAGGUUUGCGACUAAAGUUGAUGUUUUCGGUCAAAGUAGAUGUUUUUGGUCAAAGUUGGUGGAAACUGGAAGUUUGCAACCAAAGAUGAUGAUUUCGGUCAAAGUAGAUGUUUUUGGUCAAAGUUGGUGGAAACUUGAAGUUUGCGACCAAAGUUGAUGAUUUCGGUCAAAGUAGAUGUUUUGGUCAAAGUUGGUGGAAACUGGAAGUUUGCAACCAAGAUGAUGAUUUCGGUCAAAGUUGAUGUUUUUGGUCAAAGUUGGUGGAAACUGGAAGUUUGCAACCAAAGAUGAUGAUUUCGGUCAAAGUAGUUGUUUUUGGUCAAAGUUGGUGGAAACUUGAAGUUUGCGACCAAAGUUGAUGAUUUCGGUCAAAGUAGCUGUUUUUGGUCAAAGUUGGUAGAAACUGGAAGUUUGCAACCAAAGAUGAUGAUUUCGGUCAAAGUUGAUGUUUUUGGUCAAAGUUGGUGGAAACUCGAGGGUUGCGACUAAAGUUGAUGUUUUCGGUCAAAGUUGAUGUUUUUGGUCAAAGUUGGUGGAAACUGGAAGUUUGCAACCAAAGAUGAUGAUUUCGGUCAAAGUUGAUGUUUUUGGUCAAAGUUGGUGGAAACUUGAAGUUUGCGACCAAAGUUGAUGUUUUCGGUCAAAGUAGAUGUUUUUGGUCAAAGUUGGUGGAAACUGGAAGUUUGCAACCAAAGAUGAUGUUUUCGGUCAAAGUAGAUGUUUUUGGUCAAAGUUGGUGGAAACUCGAGGUUUGCGACUAAAGUUGAUGUUUUCGGUCAAAGUUGAUGUUUUUGGUCAAAGUUGGUGGAAACUGGAGGUUUGCAACCAAAGAUGAUAAUUUCGGUCAAAGUUGAUGUUUUUGGUCAAAGUUGGUGGAAACUGGAAGUUUGCAACCAAAGAUGAUGAUUUCGGUCAAAGUAGAUGUUUUUGGUCAAAGCUGGUGGAAACUGGAAGUUUGCAACCAAAGAUGAUGAUUUCGGUCAAAGUAGAUGUUUUUGGUCAAAGUUGGUGGAAACUGGAAGUUUGCAACCAAAGAUGAUGAUUUCGGUCAAAGUAGAUGUUUUUGGUCAAAGUUGGUGGAAACUGGAAGUUUGCAACCAAAGAUGAUGAUUUCGGUCAAAGUAGAUGUUUUUGGUCAAAGUUGGUGGAAACUGGAAGUUUGCAACCAAAGAUGAUGAUUUCGGUCAAAGUUGAUGUUUUUGGUCAAAGUUGGUGGAAACUCGAGGUUUGCGACUAAAGUUGAUGUUUUCGGUCAAAGUAGAUGUUUUUGGUCAAAGUUGGUGGAAACUGGAAGUUUGCAACCAAAGAUGAUGAUUUCGGUCAAAGUUGAUGUUUUUGGUCAAAGUUGGUGGAAACUCGAGGUUUGCGACUAAAGUUGAUGUUUUCGGUCAAAGUAGAUGUUUUUGGUCAAAGUUGGUGGAAACUGGAAGUUUGCAACCAAAGAUGAUGAUUUCGGUCAAAGUUGAUGUUUUUGGUCAAAGUUGGUGGAAACUCGAGGUUUGCGACUAAAGUUGAUGUUUUCGGUCAAAGUAGAUGUUUUUGGUCAAAGUUGGUGGAAACUGGAAGUUU